rnacentral:rRNA from 1 species
GUGCACCUACGGGGGGCAGCAGUGAGGGAUAUUGGUCAAUGGACGAGAGUCUGAACCAGCCAAGUAGCGUGAAGGAUGACUGCCCUAUGGGUUGUAAACUUCUUUUAUAUGGGAAUAAAAUGUUCCACGUGUGGGAUUUUGUAUGUACCAUAUGAAUAAGGAUCGGCUAGCUCCGUGCCAGCAGCCGCGGUAAUACGGAGGAUCCGAGCGUUAUCCGGAUUUAUUGGGUUUAAAGGGAGCGUAGGUGGAUUGUUAAGUCUGGAGUGAAAGGUACCGGCUCAACCGGUACAGGCUCUGGAAACUGG